GAUGAACGCUGGCGGCGUGCCUAAUACAUGCAAGUCGAGCGAACAGACGAGGAGCUUGCUCCUCUUACGUUAGCGGCGGACGGGUGAGUAACACGUGGAUAACCUACCUAUAAGACUGGGAUAACUUCGGGAAACCGGAGCUAAUACCGGAUAAUAUAUUGAACCGCAUGGUUCAAUAGUGAAAGACGGUUUUGCUUUCCCUUAUAGUUGUAUCCGCGCCUCAUUACCUAGUUGGUAAGGUAACGGCGUACCAAGGCAAAGAUGCGUACCCGACUUGAGAGGGUGAUCGGCCACAUUGGAACUGAGCCACGGUCCAGACUCCUACGGGAGGAAGAAGUAGGGAAUCUUCCGAAAUGGGCGAAAGCCUGACGGAGCAACGCGGCGUGAGGGAUGAAGGUUUUCGGAUCGUAAACCUCUGUUAUUAGGGAAGAACAAAUGUGUAAGUAACUAUGCACGUAUUGACGGUAACUAAUCAGAAAGCCACGGCUAACUACGUG
rnacentral:rRNA from 1 species